UCACAUGAGCCGUGACUUUGGAGCCAGCUGAGUUUUUAUUUUGAACGCACUUGUCAACAAAAAAAAAGUUUUUUAAUCUAUCUUGUAUGGAAAUCAGUUUUAAUUAGAUGAGCCUUGAAGUUAAGUGUACUUGAAUAUUUUUUGUAAAUAUUGAGCAAUAACCAUAACAAAGUUUGUAUACCCACGUUAGAUGCUUUCUUAGAUUGUACAAGACGACCUUUAUUUCAACGAUGUCCUUAUCCAGAUCAGUCUCUUCGGACGAAUUCGAGUGAGCGUGGUUUACAGUAUUGCGAUAGAGGUCCAGUUGGGCUUGAUUCAGCAUGGAUUGGUUAAUGUUAGAAUUUAUUUAUAAAUAAUGCAAUGAAUUAAGGUUAAAUCAUUCUUUCAAAAUCUGGUUCAAAAUCUCGCAAUCACACGUAAUGAUUUGAUCCGGCGAUGCUGCAAAAUAGGGAAAAUUGGGAGAAAUUACCAAUCCACUGUCAGUGUGACGAACGUUCCGGUGCUUUUGAAUCUGGAAGCACUUA